rnacentral:rRNA from 1 species
AGUGAACGCUGGCGGCAGGCCUAAUACAUGCAAGUCGAACGGCAGCACAGCAGAGCUUGCUCUGUGGGUGGCGAGUGGCGGACGGGUGAGGAAUACAUGGGAAUCUGCCCAGUCGUGGGGGAUAACGUAGGGAAACUUACGCUAAUACCGCAUGCGCCCUUCGGGGAAAGCCGGGGACCUUCGGCCUGGCGCGAUUGGAUGAGCCCAUGUCGGAUUAGCUAGUUGGCGGGGUAAUGGCCCACCAAGGCGACGAUCCGUAGCUGGUCUGAGAGGAUGAUCAGCCACACUGGAACUGAGACACGGUCCAGACUCCUACGGGAGGCAGCAGUAGGGAAUAUUGGACAAUGGGCGCAAGCCUGAUCCAGCCAUGCCGCGUGAGUGAAGAAGGCCCUCGGGUUGUAAAGCUCUUUUGUCCGGAAAGAAAAGCGCCGGGUUAAUACCCUAGGUGUCCUGACGGUACCGGAAGAAUAAGACACCGGCUAACUCGUGCCAGCAGCCGCGGUAA